UCAGAAUGAGGUAAGGAGCUGCAGCCUCACUGUGGUGAGUGUGGGUGUGUGGGAAUGAGAGAGCCCCCCUUUCAUAACAAGCCCUCUAGCUCAAUCCCUGGGGUCGGACAUUUAUUUGCAGAGUUUGAUAUACAGAGCUGGGGAUCCUAUGGCGUUGGCGGGUGGGGGAAGGGCUGGCAUCAAUGACCCCUUCCUGGUAGAGGAUCUAUUUCUGGCCAACUGUGAGAACAGGCACGUCCUGACUGGAAUUGCAGGGAAGGAGAGUUCCCAAGUUGGCAAAGGCCCCACACUGGCUCCUUGUCCCCAUCCUCACCCCCUCCAAGAGCCCUGCAGGGUCCCCCACCCAGGCCAUGUCUCCAUCCUGUCCUUCCUCUGUCCCAGGAAUUCAAAUUCAUCAAGGAUAUCGAGACGGUCCAGAAGGCUGCGAAUCUGUACACCGUGCAGCCCGAUGAGCAUUUUGGGGCCUGGUUCCAGGCCGUGGAGCCCCUGAGUGAGGAGGCGAGCUACAGCCUGUCCUGUCAGCUGGAGCCACGAUACCAGUGGCCCAGAAAGAUUCGACUCUUCUUCAAAGACAAGAAGAGCCAGUCAUCUUCCCGCCCAGGGCUGAACACCAGGCCCCCAAAAAAGAGCCCAGUGGUGGUGGCAGAUGAUGCUCCUGAGACCAGCUGAACUACAGCAGGGACACAGCGGGGACACUCAGGUGCAUGGGGCCACCUCUCAGAGGCUGAUGUGAAUGAAAACUUUGUGAUCCAUUUCCUGGGGUCCCCUGAAGGCAACAAGGGAGUGGACGACCCCCCCAUCUCCCUCACACAUUUUCCCCAGCACCUAUUUCCCUCUUUGGAGGGGCCAUGUUUUUGUUGUCAAUGAUAAAUGCUAAGUUUGGGUAUUCUAUUAAAUUUCUGUUUUUUUCU